UACGUAGGGGGCAAGCGUUGUCCGGAAUCAUUGGGCGUAAAGAGCGUGUAGGCGGCCCGGUAAGUCCGCUGUAAAAGUCAAAGGCUCAACCUUUGAAUGUCAGUGGAUACUGCCGGGCUAGAGUCCGGAAGAGGCGAGUGGAACUCCUGGUGUAGCGGUAGAAUGCGCAGAUAUCAGGAAGAACACCAACGGCGAAGGCAGCUCGCUGGGACGGUACUGACGCUGAGACGCGAAAGCGUGGGGAGCGAACAGG
rnacentral:rRNA from 1 species